rnacentral:sRNA from 12 species
AGCCUAAACUAGCAAGUAAUUGCUGGCAUGGUGAAAAGUCCAAUCAGACAUAAAAAACCCAUCAUGGGGUUGUCUGAUUGGCCAUAUCGGGAAACCGGUAUGAAUGGCUUCGGCCAU